GACGAACGCUGGCGGCGUGCCUAAUACAUGCAAGUAGAACGCUGAAGGAGGAGCUUGCUUCUCUGGAUGAGUUGCGAACGGGUGAGUAACGCGUAGGUAACCUGCCUGGUAGCGGGGGAUAACUAUUGGAAACGAUAGCUAAUACCGCAUAAUAGUAGAUGUUGCAUGACAUUUGCUUAGAAGGUGCAAUUGCAUCACUACCAGAUGGACCUGCGUUGUAUUAGCUAGUUGGUGGGGUAACGGCUCACCAAGGCGACGAUACAUAGCCGACCUGAGAGGGUGAUCGGCCACACUGGGACUGAGACACGGCCCAGACUCCUACGGGAGGCAGCAGUAGGGAAUCUUCGGCAAUGGACGGAAGUCUGACCGAGCAACGCCGCGUGAGUGAAGAAGGUUUUCGGAUCGUAAAGCUCUGUUGUAAGAGAAGAACGAGUGUGAGAGUGGAAAGUUCACACUGUGACGGUAUCUUACCAGAAAGGGACGGCUAACUACGUG
rnacentral:rRNA from 1 species